rnacentral:rRNA from 1 species
GACGCUGGCGGUAUGCUUAACACAUGCAAGUCGAACGGAAACGAAACUAGCUUGCUAGUAGGCGUCGAGUGGCGGACGGGUGAGUAACGCGUAGGAAUCUGCCUGAUAGUGGGGGAUAGCCCGAAGAAAUUCGGAUUAAUACCGCAUAAUCUAUUCGUAGUAAAGUGGGGGACUUUCGAGCCUCACGCUAUCAGAUGAGCCUGCGUAAGAUUAGCUUGUUGGUAGGGUAAAAGCCUACCAAGGCAACGAUCUUUAGCUGGUCUGAGAGGAUGAUCAGCCACAUCGGGACUGAGACACGGCCCGAACUCCUACGGGAGGCAGCAGUGGGGAAUAUUGGACAAUGGGGGCAACCCUGAUCCAGCAAUACCGCGUGUGUGAAGAAGGCCUGAGGGUUGUAAAGCACUUUCAAUUGUGAAGAAAAGUCAACGGUUAAUAACCGUUGACCUUGACGUUAACUUUAGAAGAAGCACCGGCUAACUCCGUGCCAGCAGCCGCGGUAAUACGGAGGGUGCAAGCGUUAAUCGGAAUUACUGGGCGUAAAGCGUGCGUAGGCGGUUUAUUAAGUCAGAUGUGAAAGCCCCGGGCUUAACCUGGGAACUGCAUUUGAAACUGGUCAACUAGAGUAUGGUAGAGGAAAGUGGAAUUUCUGGUGUAGCGGUGAAAUGCGUAGAUAUCAGAAGGAACAUCAAUGGCGAAGGCAGCUUUCUGGACCAAUACUGACGCUGAGGUACGAAAGCGUGGGUAGCAAACAGGAUUAGAUACCCUGGUAGUCCACGCCGUAAACGAUGAUAACUAGCCGUUGGGGGGAUUUACCCCUUAGUGGCGAAGCUAACGCGUUAAGUUAUCCGCCUGGGGAGUACGGCCGCAAGGCUAAACUCAAAAUGGAUGCG